AACAGUUGGAACGACUGCUAAUACCCGAUGUGCCGAGAGGUGAAAGAUUUAUCGUCUGAAGAAGGGCUCGCGGCUGAUUAGCUAGUUGGUAGGGUAAAGGCUUACCAAGGCAACGAUCAGUAACUGGUCUGAGAGGAUGAGCAGUCACACUGGAACUGAGAAACGGUCCAGACUCCUACGGGAGGCAGCAGUGGGGAAUUUUCCGCAAUGGGCGAAAGCCUGACGGAGCAAUACCGCGUGAGGGAGGAAGGUUCUUGGAUUGUAAACCUCUUUUCUAGGGGAAUAAAAAUGAAGGUACCCUAGGAAUAAGCAUCGGCUAACUCCGUGCCAGCAGCCGCGGUAAUACGGAGGAUGCAAGCGUUAUCCGGAAUUAUUGGGCGUAAAGAGUCCGUAGGUGGAAGUUCAAGUCUGUCGUUAAAGAAUGGAGCUUAACUCCAUAGAGGCGGUGGAAACUGAACAACUAGAGUGCGGUAGGGGUAACGGGAAUUCCCAGUGUAGCGGUGAAAUGCGUAGAUAUUGGGAAGAACAUCGGUGGCGAAAGCGCGUUACUGGGCCGAAACUGACACUGAGGGACGAAAGCUAGGGUAGCGAAAGGGAUUAGAUAC
rnacentral:rRNA from 1 species